GUCUGGUUGCUGAUGGGAUUGUUGAUCACACAGCUGUAGGUGUUUUUAUCCUGAUAUUCCACCUCCAGAGGUAGAGAGAGACUGAUGCUGAGAUCAGACACACUGAUGCUGGACAAUAAACUGUUUCCUUUGUACCAGGAGAGAGUCACAUUACUCACAUUCACCACUGAACACAACAAUGAACAAGAUGAUAAUGAUGAAGAACAUUGUGAAGAGUUACUGCUGAUGACAGGAACAGGCAGACGAGC